rnacentral:misc_RNA from 1 species
GUGAAUCAUCGAAUCUUUGAACGCAAAUUGCGCCUUUUUCGGAAGGCAUGUCUGUUUGAGGGCACCAUUUAACAAAUAAUGUGCACCGUUUUGUGUGUGCACACGUUGAUGAGCUUUCCAGGAAAAAUUUUUUUUUUUUUUUUUUUUUGGGGCUGAUAAUUGAAAGCGCGGAAAGUUUUUUUUUU